AUUGAACGCUGGCGGCAGGCUUAACACAUGCAAGUCGAGCGGUUUGGUUAGCUUGCUAACCAGAUAGCGGCGAACGGGUGAGGAAUGCUUGGGAAUCUGCCUAGUAGUGGGGGAUAACGUUUCGAAAGGAACGCUAAUACCGCAUACGCCCUACGGGGAAAGGGGGGGAGUCUUCGGACCUCUCGCUAUUAGAUGAGCCCAAGUCGGAUUAGCUAGUUGGUGAGGUAAAGGCUCACCAAGGCGACGAUCCGUAGCUGGUCUGAGAGGAUGAUCAGUCACACUGGAACUGAGACACGGUCCAGACUCCUACGGGAGGCAGCAGUGGGGAAUAUUGGACAAUGGGCAAAGCCUGAUCCAGCCAUGCCGCGUGUGUGAAGAAGGUCUUCGGAUUGUAAAGCACUUUAAGUUGGGAGGAAGGGCAGUAACCUAAUACGUUAUUGUUUUGACGUUAACCGACAGAAUAAGCACCGGCUAACUACGUG
rnacentral:rRNA from 1 species